AGGCGGAGACUUGGGCAACGGCUGGUGCAUCAUUCUAAAGCAUUGCACUUGUCUCAGUCUGC
rnacentral:pre_miRNA from 1 species